GACGAACGCUGGCGGCGUGCCUAAUACAUGCAAGUAGAACGCAGUUGCGAACGAGUGAGUAAAGCGUAGGUAACUACCUAUUAGAGGGCGGUAACUAUUGGAAACGAUAGCUAAUACCGCAUAAUUGUAGAUGGACAGUAGUUGUAUUAGCUAGUAGGUAGGGUAAUGGCCUACCGAGGCAAAGAGACAUUGCCGACCUUAGAGGGUGAUCGGCCACACUGGGACUGGGACACGGCCCAGACUCCUACGGGAGGCAGCAGUAGGGAAUCUGUGGCAAUGGGGGGAACCCUGACCGAGGAACGCCGCGUGAGUGAAGAAGGUUUUCGGAUCUUAAAGCUCUGUUGUUAAGGAAGCGGUACUUAACCAGAAAGGGACGGCUAACUACGUGCCAGCAGCCGCGGUAAUAC
rnacentral:rRNA from 1 species